AACGUAGGACACAAGCGUUAUCCGGAGUUACUGGGCGUAAAGGGCGUGUAGGCGGAUCGGUAAGUCUACUCUGAAAGCUCCUGGCUAAACUGGGAGAGGCGAGUGGAGACUGUCGGUCUAGAGUGAGGAAGAGGAAAGUGGAAUUCCGCGUGUAGUGGUGAAAUGCGCAGAUAUCAGGAGGAACACCAAUUGCGAAGGCAGCUCGCUGGGACGUUACUGACGCUGAGACGCGAAAGCGUGGGGAGCAAACAGG
rnacentral:rRNA from 1 species